UGAGGUUCAAAUGUCCAGAAAAGCGU
rnacentral:piRNA from 1 species